rnacentral:rRNA from 1 species
CAGCCGCCGCGGGAAUACGGAGGGUGCAAGCGUUAUCCGGAUUUAUUGGGUUUAAAGGGUCCGUAGGCGGACUUAUAAGUCAGUGGUGAAAGCCUGUCGCUUAACGAUAGAACUGCCAUUGAUACUGUAAGUCUUGAGUAUAUUUGAGGUAGCUGGAAUAAGUAGUGUAGCGGUGAAAUGCAUAGAUAUUACUUAGAACACCAAUUGCGAAGGCAGGUUACCAAGAUAUAACUGACGCUGAGGGACGAAAGCGUGGGUAGCGAACAGGAUUAGAUACCCGAGUAGUCCCUGUCUCUUAUAC